rnacentral:tRNA from 1 species
GCCCGGGUGGCGGAACGGUAGACGCAGAGGUCUUAAACACCUUCGGACAAAAUCCGUGCGGGUUCGAAUCCCGCCCCGGGCA